GACGAACGCUGGCGGCGUGCCUAAUACAUGCAAGUCGAACGCAGUGGGGACGGGUGAGUAACACGUGGGUAACCUCCCAUCAGAGGGGAUAACACUUGGAAACAGGUGCUAAACCGAUACUGAUGGAUGAACCCGCGGUGCAUUAGCUAGUUGGUGAGGUAACGGCUCCCCAAGGACACGAUGCAUAGCGGAGCUGAUGGGGGGAUCGGCCAACAUGGGAAUGAGCCACGGACCAGACUACUACGGUAGGCACAAGUAGGGAAUCUGCGGCAAUGGACGAAAGUCUGACCGAGCAACGCCGCGUGAGUUAAGAAGGUUUUCGGAUCGUAAAACUCUGUUGUUAGAGAAGCGGUAUCUAACCAGAAAGCCACGGCUAACUACGUGCCAGCAGCCGCGGUAAUUC
rnacentral:rRNA from 1 species